GAUGAACGCUGGCGGCGUGCCUAAUACAUGCAAGUCGAACGAAAAGACCAGGAGCUUGCUGCGCUGACGUUUGCGGCGGACGGGUGAGUAACACGUGGAUAACCUACCUAUAUGACUGGGAUAACUUCGGGAAUCCGGCGCUAAUACCGGAUAAUAUACUGAACCGCAUGGUUCAAUAGUGAAAGACGGUUUUGCUGUCACUUAUAGAUGGAUCCGCGCCGCAUUAGCUAGUUGGUAAGGUAACGGCUUACCAAGGCAACGAUGCGUAGCCGACCUGAGAGGGUGAUCGGCCACACUGGAACUGAGACACGGUCCAGACUACUACGAGAGGCCGCAGUCGGGAAGCUGCCGCAACGGUCGAAAGCCUGACGCAGGAACGGCGCGUGAGUGAUGGAGAUGUUGGGAUCGUAAAAAUGCGUUAUUAGGGAAGAACCACUGUGGAAUUAACUAUUGACAGCGUGACGGUACCUAGUCAGAAAGCCACGGCUAACUACGGG
rnacentral:rRNA from 1 species